rnacentral:misc_RNA from 1 species
UUUCCGUAGGUGAACCUGCGGAAGGAUCAUUGCAGAAAAAAAAAGAUUGAGUUUUGAAGGUGUUAAUAAAAAGUGGGAGGAGAGGAAUAAAAUCUUAUUAUUUUCAUGAAACGUGAAUAAAAUGAAUGUUAUGUUUCUCCUCCAUCUUUUUUCUCUUCAAAACACAUAUAUACCCCCCAUUUAUGUGCACAAUACAAAACAUUUGUUAUCUAUGGAAAAAAGUGUUUGUGGGCUUUGUAAAAAAAAUUCACAUUGCUUUUCUUUCAUGAUAAAAAAUGUAUAACAAAACCCAUUCCUAUUUUCUUUUUUAAUAUAUGUGAUAUGAUAAUGAGAGAGUUAUAUAUAUAUAUAUGCAUAUAUAUAUAUGCUUAUAACAUUUCUCAUGACAUGCACUUAACAAAAAUCAAAAAAACAACUUUUAACAAUGGAUCUCUUGGCUCUC